rnacentral:ncRNA from 1 species
UUUGAUCUUCCCUAAGAGCUCACAUCGUCGGGAAGGUUUGACACCUCGAUGUCGGCUCUUCGCCACUUGGGGUUGUAGUAUGUUCCAAGAUUUGAGUGCGCCCGCUAAAGCGGUGCAUGAGUUGAGUUCAAAACGUGGUGAGACAGUUC